rnacentral:lncRNA from 1 species
GACCCACAACUUUUUACCCACGCCUUUUUACCCACGACCCACGCCUUUUACCCACGACCCACGCCUUUUUACCCACGACCCACGCCUUUUUACCCACGACCCACGCCUUUUUACCCACGACUUACGACUUUUUACCCACGACCCACGACUUUUUACCCACGACCCACGACAUUCUACCCACGACCCACGACAUUCUACCCACGACCCACGACCCACGACUGUUAGCUAGUCCCGUUU